GACGAACGCUGGCGGCGUGCCUAAUACAUGCAAGUCGAACGGUCUUUUCUAUGGAAGCUUGCUUCCACUGAGAAGAUAGUGGCGAACGGGUGAGUAACACGUGGGUAACCUGCCCAUAAGAGGGGGAUAACAUCCGGAAACGGGUGCUAAUACCGCAUAGUUUUCUUGAUCGCAUGAUCGGGAAAGGAAAGACGGCCUUUGUGCUGUCGCUUAUGGAUGGACCCGCGGCGUAUUAGUUAGUUGGGGAGGUAAUGGCUCACCAAGACGAUGAUACGUAGUCGACCUGAGAGGGUGAUCGGCCACAUUGGGACUGAGACACGGCCCAAACUCCUACGGGAGGCAGCAGUAGGGAAUCUUCCGCAAUGGACGAAAGUCUGACGGAGCAACGCCGCGUGAGUGAAGAAGGUUUUCGGAUCGUAAAACUCUGUUGUCAGAGAAGAACAAGUUGGAGAGUAACUGCUCCAGCCUUGACGGUAUCUGACCAGAAAGCCACGGCUAACUUCGUGCCAGCCGCCGCCGUAAAAC
rnacentral:rRNA from 1 species